rnacentral:tRNA from 1 species
GAGAAGUUAGUUUAAAUUAUAAAAUUAUAGUUUGUCGUUCUAUAGAUGCUUAUUAUUAGUACUUUUUU